rfam:Triticum urartu cultivar G1812 contig1045679, whole genome shotgun sequence.
CAAAUACUCCCUCCGUCCGGAAUUACUUGUUGCUCAAACGGAUGUAUCUAGCUCUAAGAUAGUGUUAGAUACAUCCGUUUAAGCUACAAGUAAUUCCGGAUGUAGGGAGUAUAAG